rnacentral:rRNA from 1 species
UAUAAUUCCAGGCUCCAAUAGUGUAUAUUAGAGUUGUUGCAGUUAAAAAGCUCGUAGUUGGAUUUCUGUCGUGGUCAUCCGGUUCCGCCCGUAUGGGUGUGCACCUGGAUUGACCUCGGCAUUUUUCUGGUUACUUAUCACGCUUUAUUGCGUGAUUUGUUUUUCCGGAACUUUUACUUUGAGAAAAAUAGAGUGUUUCAAGCAGGCUUGUCGCCUUGAAUACUGCAGCAUGGAAUAAUAAGAUAGGACCUUGGUUCUAUUUUGUUGGUUUCUAGGACUAGGGUAAUGAUUAAUAGGGACAGUUGGGGGCAUUCGUAUUUAACUGUCAGAGGUGAAAUUCUUAGAUUUGUUAAAGACGAACUACUGCGAAAGCAUUUGCCAAGGAUGUUUUCAUUAAUCAAGAACGACAGUAGGGGGUUUGAAGACGAUUAGAUACCGUCGUAAUCUCUACCAUAAACUAUGCCGACUAGAGAUAGGGAAAUGCCUACCUUGGCUUCUCCUGA